GCCGGAUUUGGGAAACUCAAUGAUUUUUUCAUGUCAUUUAUGCAUUAAUCUAGAUGUGAAUGUUAGUAGUUUGACUGUUGUUUAACUACUUUAUAAUGAUUAGACUGUAGCAUGGAAAGCUACAGAUUCAAAGUAGCAUCCCCUGCAGAUUUUAUUUUCAUCACUUAUCCAAAUACUUCAGAUAAUCCUAUAAGUCUUCAAGUCCUCACUAUAAAACUCGCCUUCUUUCUUUCUUUCUUUCUUUCUUUCUUUCUUUCAGAAGUUUGAGUCUCACGAGAUCAUCUCCAGGUACUGAUCUAGGAACAGGAAGAGCAAAGCAGAUCACCUUGUGUGAGCCAAAAUAAGAUGAUUACUUUGAAAAAAAUCCCAAGUGACCGACCUAAUCAGUUUUUCCCCCUUUGAAGCAUAUGUUCAAAAAUUAAAUAUUAAUCCAGUAUAGCUUAAACAUGUUUUUAGGUCGUCUGCAGCACAUUUGAUCUGAUAUGUUGCCAAAAACCUGCAUACAUCCAUAUCAGCUCAUGUACAGGAGCUAAAACUUGCAGCUUUACACAUGAAUAAUUCACCUCCUUUGAGAAAGAGUUUACUUCACACCGUUAUUAAAUUAUAUAAAGCACUGAUGCAGAAUAGCUGUGAUUUGCACCCACUGAUCACAUAAUCCAUCUAUAACAGCAAUUCUUGGACAUCCAAAAAUACUCAUGCUUUCAGCUAUUUUAUAAAGCAAUCAAUAAUGGCUGAUUGCAUGCUUGUAGUCUACUGUUUAAGCCUGGAUCGUUAGAUCUUGUCCUUUAGCUAUUCAAGAGAUUGUUAAUUUCUUUCUCUCCUCCAUUAUAGACUUUGUGACCUUCAGUCUUUUUUGCCCUGCAGUGAAUCAUCUGCUUUUGACCAGAGUCAAAGUUCCUUUUUCCUCUUCACUGUCUGAGGGUGAUAAGAAGAAUUAAAGCAGUGGACAGGGUCAGGAUUUGAUAGCACUACAGCCCUGCAGGGAAAUAAUGUGCACACAUGGACAAACAUCGAGGUGGGAGACUAUGGUCGUAUCUCUUUCUAACUGUGGCAGCAACUCUUGAUGGCCUGGACACAACGAGAAAAGCCACACUAGUGCACUCGGCUCUGACUCUGUGUAUCCCAACAUGCCGAAGGUGCAAUCCCCCAAUGAGUGACAUCAUUAAUUAUGUGCCUCUGACUUCAGAAAUGCCAGCUGAGGAGGGAGGCAUACAUUUCAUCCGCAGACUGUUCAAAAAAAUUGUCUUUCAAGCCGGGCUGACAGCAUGCAUUCCAAUCACGAGCUCACCCAGGUCUGAAAUUGCGGAUAGUUCACCAGCUGUGAGGCGCUGGGAUCUCACUGCACAGUGGAUGAUUGUGAUGGCACAUCCAGAACAUUCCAUCUGUGGUCGAGCUUUAUUUGAGAUAGACAGUCUCAUGUGGACACAAUCACACCUCUAACGGUGAGUCCCAUCAUCAAUUAGUAUUACUCUCCUCUGACAACACACUUCAUCAAGUGGUCUUGUCUCAUCAGAC
ensembl:lncRNA